GAUGAAGAACGUAGUGAAAUGCGAUACGUAAUGUGAAUUGCAGAAUUCAGUGAAUCAUCGAGUCUUUGAACGCACAUUGCGCCUUCUGGUAUUCCGGAAGGCAUGCCUGUUCGAGAGUCAUUAACAACCGUUUCGAUCCCUUUCUUUCAGAAAUUACAAAGAGGAAAAGGGUUUGGUUAUGGUGGAGGAGGGAAAGGGAGCGUUUAGCCUGUAAAAAAAGAGGCUGUGUUCCGCCUCCCCCCCAAAAUUGUACAGGCGGUCGUGUGCGCCCACGCAUCGAGGUGUUGUAAAAGCUGCCACGGCACUUUUCACCUGUGCAGUGCGAGAUUGGCCAGCCGGUUUAAAAACCCCUCCAAACAAUCAAAGGUUGACCUCGGAUCAGGUAGGGAUACCCGCUGAACUUAAGCAUAUCAAUAAGCGGAGGA
rnacentral:misc_RNA from 1 species